rnacentral:rRNA from 1 species
UACGUAGGGUGCAAGCGUUGUCCGGAAUUACUGGGCGUAAAGGGCGCGUAGGCGGACAGUUUAGUCAGAGGUGAAAGCCCAGGGCUCAACCUUGGAAUUGCCUUUGAUACUGGCUGUCUUGAGUUCGGGAGAGGUGAGAGGAAUGCCGAGUGUAGAGGUGAAAUUCGUAGAUAUUCGGCGGAACACCAGUGGCGAAGGCGACUCACUGGCCCGAUACUGACGCUGAGGCGCGAAAGCGUGGGGAGCAAACAGG